rnacentral:miRNA from 1 species
AUCUUCCUCGUGGACAAGCGGUAG